rnacentral:lncRNA from 1 species
CACUCUUUGAAAUUUAUCAAUGUCACCACCAAAAAGACCCCCUUAGUCUUAGAUACAUUCAUAGUCAUAGAAGAGGGGAUAAGGGUUCAGUAAAAGGUUAAAUGUCUACUCGAACGCAGAACCAGAACCCAAUGCAAGGCAACAACGUUGCAAAUCUCGAAGAAGAAGUGGAGCAGAUAGCCCAGAAAGUGCUUGCGUACAGAACUACACUUCCAGAUCAGCUUAACUCGACGCUGGCUUCUCUUUUCUCUUCUUGACGACCCAUUAUUCUCUCGACCAGUUUGUCCGAAGACGAAUCUAAACUGGGACCCGAAUCGAAGGCAGGUCACAAUCUAGGUGCGUCUGCAAAUUUGAAUUUUGUUUUUACCAAUAUCUCUGCUGUGUAUUGUCGCUCUUAGGGUUUGUUGGAUAAAGGUAUCUUGUUCAACUUUGGAAAUAAUUUUUCAAAAAAUUUAAUUAUAGCUUAUUUUAUGUGGCUCUGUUUUUAUAAGAAGAUAAUAUUUUUUUGCUGUAACAUGAAAAUUUUCCUUUUUAUUCUCUGGUAAAUUUAGAUACAGGUGAAAAUGUGAGAUUAUAAUUGCCCUAAAUUUCUGGGCACAUCCUCAACUAAAAUUUUGAUAGAUUUUAAAAGAUUAUAAAUCCUAAUGAAUUUCGAGAAUUUAAAUAAAUUUUCUCAAAUUUCAUAAGAAUCUCAUCAAAUAUAAUGAAAUUUCAAACGAUUUGAUUAUCUGUAUUUUUAAAGACUGAAAUUCAUUCAAAUCUUUCUAAAUCCCAUUAUUAAUAAAAUCUUUCUAAAUCCACUAAUUAUUGAAAAUAUUUAAAUUUUAAAGGAUUUUGUAGAAUUUCAUUAAGAUCUUAAUUGGGAACAUCUAAAUUGAAAUUUAUUAAAAUCUCAAUUGAGAAUACCUAAAUUUAGAAAUUAUCUUUCAUAAUCUCAAUUAAAGACACCCCUCUUCAUUUGACUCUUAAAAUUCAUAUAACCUUAUGUGGGCAUUAAGAGUAACUUACCCAUAGUUGUAAUAAAUCCUAGCAACUUUUGUAGAAGCCCCAUAAAAUUUUGAAAUUAGGCUCAUGUUUUUAUGCGAUGAUCUAGCAUUACGAGUUUAGCUUAUAAAUGAACCUGAUGCUCAGCCCACAUAAGAUAUGAAAGUCCAAUACUAGUUCGACAUGUCUUAAAUAAUUUUGAUAUCAUGCAAGUUCACAAGCAAUCAUGUAAAUUUUCUAUAAAAUAUAAAAAAAAUUUAAACAAAGGAGGACGGGAUAUAAUGUUUUCCAAAGAUUGGACUUGACAAUGAAAAUUUAUUUUUGUGUAGUAAACAUUUUCAUAACUAGAUUUGCUUAUUUUCAAAGGGACCAAAUUAUAAAUUUAAAAAAUGAAUAGUAAAAUAGGAUUUGUAAGUUUCUAAUUGGAGACCAAUAUUGUUAUUUCAUUAUUUUGCUAAGUAAAUAAAUUAUAUGGACCAUGGGUAAAAUAAUGUUAAUAUUGAUAAUAAUAAUUUAAAUUUAAAUAUAAUUUUGUAUAUACACACACAUACACAAGAAUAUAAAUAUGGGAGAAAACGUUUGUAUUAAAUGGUGAAUAAUUAAGACAUUAAACCCCCACCUAUAAUGAAAGAAAUGAAAUAGCAAUUAACCAUUUUCAAGACCCUUUUUGGAGUCAAUGGCUGCCAAACGUUUCUGGUAAACAAAAACAAAAAUUGGGAUUGAUUUUUUCAUUUCCUGCAAGUUAUUUAUAUUCUUUCUAAUAUAUACAUAUAUAUCUCAUUAAUUAGAAUGAAACCUACAAUUUAAUCCCAAAACACACACUCGUAUAACAUAAGGAAUGAAACCUACAAUUAACCCAUUUAACCAAUUUUAAAUUUCCUUUAAUUGGUAUGGAUAAUACCACUAGUUUUUUUUAGACAAAAUAAGAAUUUAGCCUUCUCAUUUUCUCCAAAUCAUUUCUAUCCCAUUUCUACACACACACACACACACACAAAAGUUUCACCAAAAAAUAAAAAAAAAUAAAAAAAUCAAUGAAAAGGAUUUUCAAAAGAAAGAAAAACGUAAGAGAGGAGCAAAAUUUUAAAGCUUUGGGAACCGUCGAGGAACAAUAUUCACCGUCCAAUUUCAUCCAUUUCAAAACUUCAAAUUAAGGUAGGUAGAGGUGCAAGUGAUUAUUUCAUUUUUAAAUUUUGAUUUUUCAUUUAAAGUUUGAAUGAAUUGGUACCUUUGUGUACAGUGCUUUAGCACUACUAUAUUUUAAAUAAUUAUUCUCCGACUUUACAUGUUAUGAUAAUUUUAUUAGAAAUUGAAUUUUGUCAAAAAUCCAUCUAUAUGUGACGAUCUGAAUCUAUAGUUCAAAUUUUCUAAUUUGAUAACGAAAUGCACCGAUAAUAUCUAUUGAGUUUCAAGCUCUUUCCCUUCCUAUAGGUUCAUUGAAUGUCUUGGGGGCUGUGGAUGGUGGUAGAUAAAGAUGCAACGAGCUGUGGAAAAGUCGGUGACUUAAUGUUUUUAAUUCGGUUAUGAAACAAUAUAUAUAUAUAUAUAUAUAUAUAUGUGGUACUAUUCUAUGAACAUUUAAAUGGAUAAGUUAUUAUUAAAAGUAGAUAUGUGUUAUAGAAAUUAACUUAGAGGUCACGUUACCACGAAAAAAAAAAGUUAUCGGUUUACUAUUGCUAUUUGUUAAAAAUUCCAGCAUUUGCCUUGAACUUAAAAAUUCACAACUCAAUUGUUACUUGGAAUUUUUGAACAAAACUAGUGUUGUUUGAUAGUCUAAUAAGUUAUUUACUGAAUAAACUUGGAAUCAUGUCAAUUCGAUGUCGGUAAAAUUUUAUGUCACUUUUAAGUAAACUGAGUGUUGAUUUUUUCUGAAAAUUUUAGCUUUUGUCCUUGACUUUAAAAAUUCAUAACUCAAUCAUUACUUGGGAUAUUUGUAUGAAACCAAUGGGAUUUGAUAGUCUCAUGGAUUAGCAACUGAACAAAGUUAAAAUCAUGUCGAUCCGAUAUCUGUAGUAUUUUAUAUGUCACUUUAAGUAAACUGCGUUGGGUUACCUUCCAACCCAAAUAGCUACGAGGCUUUGAAAAAUAUUUUAAUACCUUAUACAUUGUUGAUGAAAGCUUAUUUUUAAAUAUGUCAUUAUAUGGUGUUUUCUACUAUACGUUCAUACUUCAUGAAGUUUCGAUGCAAACGAAUUUAUUUUGACAAUUGUCGCUUGAGAUAGAAAUCAAAGCAACAACAUUUAUUUUUAAUAUUGGUAAGUGUGUUUUUACACACUUACUCAAGCCACAAAACAUGACUAUUUCCUGAUAAAUACAGUGAAAUAUAGCUUAGUUCUAUUAGAUCUUGUUUUGUAUGACGACAUUGAUGGAUAUGACGGAAUUCAAGAGAAAAGAUGUGAAAAAUGGCCAAAAUGAAAGAAAAUGAAAGUUCAGGGACUAAAGUGUAAAUAAUCAAAGGUUGAACCAAAAGGCAAAUCAAGAACACAAAAGAGUUAAGUUUCAACUCGAGGAUAAUACGAGAUGAGCAAAGGAAGAGAAUGAAGAAAAAGGGCCAAAAAGAAGAAAAAUGAAAGCUUAGGGGCCAAAGCACAAUUAUCCAAAAGAUGACCCGAAGAAGGAAUUGACGACUUGAAUGAGCUUAACACCAAUUGGAUGUUAUCAUGGAUUGAUGGAAUGAGAAAAAAGAGGACAAGAGGUCAAAAUUGGAGUAAAUCAAAUUCGGGGACUAAAUUGGUACAAUCGGGAAAUUUGCACUACUAUGUGACCGCAUAGUAAAAACACCAUGAGGCUGCAUUCACCCCAGCAGAUAUUUCAAGCGCCUAAACUAAUUUAAUUAUGCGGUCACAUCGGUCAUUCGGGGACCGAAAUUCUUUAGUUUAUUGUUUUAGUUAAAACUCUUGUGAAACUUCAUUGGGAUGCGAGAUAUAAAACCUAAAACUGUCAAAUUAGAGGCAGAACGCCUGGAGAAGAAAACGAACUCAGAUUGGAGAGGAUUUUUCAUGACAAUCACGAAGAGCAACGCGGGUAUCAACAAGAUUACAAGCCAAUUCAUAUACUGGUGAUGUCGUUUCUUAUAACUAUUAUGAUUUUGUUCUUUUCUCCAUGUUAGGCUAGGUUUUCAUGUACUAUGAUAUCGAGAACUUCGUGAUGUAAAUUUUAAUUUCUUAUUUUUGCAAAUUUGACAUCGAA